AGAGUUCGAUCCUGGCUCAGGAUAAACGCUGGCGGCGUGCUUAACACAUGCAAGUCGAACGAAGUUUUUCCUUCGGGAGAAACUUAGUGGCGGACGGGUGAGUAACGCGUGGGUAACCUGCCCUGUACAGGGGGACAACAGCUGGAAACGGCUGCUAAUACCGCAUAAGCCCUUAGCACUGCAUGGUGCAUAGGGAAAAGGAGCAAUCCGGUACAGGAUGGACCCGCGUCUGAUUAGCCAGUUGGCAGGGUAACGGCCUACCAAAGCGACGAUCAGUAGCCGAUCUGAGAGGAUGUACGGCCACAUUGGGACUGAGACACGGCCCAGACUCCUACGGGAGGCAGCAGUGGGGAAUAUUGCACAAUGGAGGAAACUCUGAUGCAGCGACGCCGCGUGAGUGAAGAAGUAUUUCGGUAUGUAAAGCUCUAUCAGCAGGGAAGAUAAUGACGGUACCUGACUAAGAAGCUCCGGCUAAAUACGUGCCAGCAGCCGCGGUAAUACGUAUGGAGCAAGCGUUAUCCGGAUUUACUGGGUGUAAAGGGAGUGUAGGUGGCCAUGCAAGUCAGAAGUGAAAAUCCGGGGCUCAACCCCGGAACUGCUUUUGAAACUGUAAGGCUAGAGUGCAGGAGGGGUGAGUGGAAUUCCUAGUGUAGCGGUGAAAUGCGUAGAUAUUAGGAGGAACACCAGUGGCGAAGGCGGCUUACUGGACUGUAACUGACACUGAGGCUCGAAAGCGUGGGGAGCAAACAGGAUUAGAUACCCUGGUAGUCCACGC
rnacentral:rRNA from 1 species